GAUGAAGAACGCAGCGAAAUGCGAUAAGUAAUGUGAAUUGCAGAAUUCAGUGAAUCAUCGAAUCUUUGAACGCACAUUGCGCCCCCUGGUAUUCCGGGGGGCAUGCCUGUUCGAGCGUCAUUUCACCACUCAAGCCUCGCUUGGUAUUGGGCGACGCGGUCCGCCGCGCGCCUCAAAUCGACCGGCUGGGUCUUUCGUCCCCUCAGCGUUGUGGAAACUAUUCGCUAAAGGGUGCCGCGGGAGGCCACGCCGUAAAACAACCCCAUUUCUAAGGUUGACCUCGGAUCAGGUAGGGAUACCCGCUGAACUUAAGCAUAUCAAUAGCGGAGGA
rnacentral:misc_RNA from 1 species